CCUUUGGGUUGUAAAGCUCUUUUGUCGGGAAAGAUAAUGACUGUACCCGAAGAAUAAGGUCCGGCUAACUUCGUGCCAGCAGCCGCGGUAAUACGAAGGGACCUAGCGUAGUUCGGAAUUACUGGGCUUAAAGAGUUCGUAGGUGGUUAAAAAAGUUGAUGGUGAAAUCCCAAGGCUCAACCUUGGAACUGCCAUCAAAACUUUUUAGCUAGAGUGUGAUAGAGGAAAGUGGAAUUUCUAGUGUAGAGGUGAAAUUCGUAGAUAUUAGAAAGAACAUCAAAAGCGAAGGCAACUUUCUGGAUCAUUACUGACACUGAGGAACGAAAGCAUGGGUAGCGAAGAGGAUUAGAUACCCUCGUAGUCCAUGCCGUAAACGAUGUGUGCUAGACGUUGGAAACUUAGUUUUCAGUGUCGCAGCGAAAGCAUUAAGCACACCGCCUGGGGAGUACGACCGCAAGGUUA
rnacentral:rRNA from 1 species